rnacentral:rRNA from 1 species
CAGUAGCCACGGGAAUACAGAGGGUGCAAGCGUUAAUCGGAAUUACUGUGCGUAAAGCGCGCGUAGGUGGUUUGUUAAGUUGGAUGUGAAAUCCCCGGGCUCAACCUGGGAACUGCAUCCAAAACUGGCAAGCUAGAGUAUGGUAGAGGGUGGUGGAAUUUCCUGUGUAGCGGUGAAAUGCGUAGAUAUAGGAAGGAACACCAGUGGCGAAGGCGACCACCUGGACUGAUACUGACACUGAGGUGCGAAAGCGUGGGGAGCAAACAGGAUUAGAGACCCGAGUAGUCCCUGUCUCUUAUAC